rnacentral:sRNA from 1 species
UCCUCUCGAGAAGGCGCGGGGCGGGCUGUCCGGCCCGCAGGGCGGUCGAGCCCGCGGCGCCAUGGCUCACGUCGGCUCCCGCAAGCGCUCGAGGAGUCGCAGCCGGUCCCGGGGACGGGGGUCGGAAAAGAGAAAGAAGAAGAGCAGGAAGGACGCCUCGAGGAACUGCUCGGCCUCCACAUCCCAAGGUCGCAAGGCCAGCACGGCCCCUGGGGCGGAGGUUCUCCUAGCUCCUCUUCUUCCUCCUCGUCCUCCUCCUCUUCCUCCAGUGAUGGCCGGAAGAAGCGGGGGAAGUAUAAGGACAAGAGGAGGAAGAAGAAGAAGAAGAGGAAGAAGCUGAAGAAGAAGAGCAAGGAGAAGGCGGAAGCACAGCAGAGCAUCAUCCGCAAGGUGGUGGACCCCGAGACGGGGCGCACCAGGCUUAUUAAGGGAGAUGGCGAGGUCCUAGAGGAAAUCGUAACCAAAGAACGACACAGAGAGAUCAACAAGGUGGGUGUGGCCCCUCUGCCUGCCAUCUGCCCCCAGCUCUGUUUGUGAUGUACCCCUCCUCCUGUGUGCUUUCUUCCCCAGCAAGCCACCCGAGGGGACGGCCUGGCCUUCCAGAUGCGAGCUGGGUUGCUUCCCUGAGGGCCCCCGCUGGCCAAGGCCUGUGGACGGCGCUGGCGGCCCAGCCUGGGCAGGUUUCAGGGUGCCAGUGGGAAGCCUGAUGGGUGCUG